rnacentral:rRNA from 1 species
AUUCCAGCUCCAAUAGCGUAUAUUUAAGUUGUUGCAGUUAAAAAGCUCGUAGUUGGAUUUCGGGUGGGAACGACCGGUCCGCCGUUCUGGUGUGUGCUGGUCGGUCCCAUCUUGCUGUCGGGGACGCGCUCCUGGCCUUAACUGCUGGGACGUGGAGUCGGCGAUGUUACUUUGAAAAAAUUAGAGUGUUCAAAGCAGGCCUACGCUCUGAAUACAUUAGCAUGGAAUAACGCGAUAGGACUCUGGUCCUAUUGUGUUGGUCUUCGGGACCGGAGUAAUGAUUAAGAGGGACAGUUGGGGGCAUUCGUAUUUCAUUGUCAGAGGUGAAAUUCUUGGAUUUAUGAAAGACGAACUUCUGCGAAAGCAUUUGCCAAGGAUGUUUUCAUUG